rnacentral:rRNA from 1 species
AUUGAACGCUGGCGGCAGGCCUAACACAUGCAAGUCGAGCGGAUGAAGGGAGCUUGCUCCUGGAUUCAGCGGCGGACGGGUGAGUAAUGCCUAGGAAUCUGCCUGGUUGUGGGGGAUAACGUCCGGAAACGGGCGCUAAUACCGCAUACGUCCUGCGGCAGAAACAGGGGGAUCUUCGGACCUUAUGCGAUCAGAUGAGCCUAGGUCGGAUUAGCUAGUUGGUGGGGUAAAGGCCUACCAAGGCGACGAUCCGUAACUGGUCUGAGAGGAUGGUCAGUCACACUAGAACUGGGACACGGUCCAGACUCCUACGGGAGGCAGCAGUGGGGAAUAUCGGACAAUGGGCGAAAGCCUGAUCCAGCCAUGCCGCGUGUGUGAAGGAGGUCUUCGGAUUGUAAAGCACUUUAAGUUGGGAGGAAGGGCAGUAAGUUAAUACCUUGCUGUUUUGACGUUACCAACAGAAUAAGCACCGGCUAACUUCGUG